rnacentral:miRNA from 14 species
CAAAAGAAGUCAACGCAUUUAUAAUUCUAGAGGCUGGGCAUCCAAGAUCAAGGUGUGGGCAGAACUGAUUUCUCAGGAGGCCUCUGCCUGCCUUGCAGAUGCCCAGUCCCUUCCUGUGUCCCUGUGGGAUCCU